GGGGGAAGUGCUCCGUGAGGGGGGCCUGGGAGAGAAUCAGGAGAACAGGGUACAACAGCUGGUGAGUUUUCCUUCUGAUAUAGACAAUGCCUGGAGAGCAAACUGUUACAGCUAAGAGAGAUCUUUAAGUGAAAGAAAAGGAGAAGGCUCCAUCUCAGCUUAUUAGAGGACUUGAAUUUCUCUAAUGUCUUGCCUGGGAAAAGCAGCUCAGUUCUCUCUGAAAAGCAAAACCCAGGACAGAAAGCGUGGAUGUGGAAGAAGGCUGGAGUGCAGUGGCGUGAUGUCCGCUCACUGCAAGCUCUGCCUCCCGGGUUCACGCCAUUCUCCUGUCUCAGCCUCCUGAGUAGCUGGGACUACAGGCGCCUGCCACCACGUCUGGCUAAUUGCUUUUAGCACUUUUUUGGGAGAGGGGUGUGGCAACAGUAAAGCUUUCUACGUGUUAAACAGAAUGAACAAAACCAACACAGAGCAGUAACUUCCUGCCAGAGAGAGCAGAAGGAGACCCUUAUAGAACAGUUGUUCCACUGGUUCAAAGGCCUCGUGUGGUUCUAUCCUUUGGACUGCCUUUCUUCAACAGCCCAGACACCUGCUCCAUCAGAUUUAUAAGCCACACCCCCUAGAGCCAUGCCAAUCAAAGCAUGGC
rnacentral:antisense_RNA from 1 species